ensembl:lncRNA
UGUCUUUUCCAAAUAUUCUGCAACACUGCUGGUUCAAUUCGUCUCAUUCUUAUCACUUGCCUUUAUCUUGUAUUUUUGCUUGCACAAAAGUAUAUUGCUUAUUCAAACCCCUGUAAUGUAAAAUUGAAGUUAAAGUAAAGAUUAUGAUUGAUUAAAUGUUUGUUUUUUUAAACACUAUAAUUAUUUAUACUAAUCAUACCUGUUUAUUGGACUAGUUAACUCAUUUCAGAAGCUUGAGGUUUGGAUAAUCAAGGUUAAUUUAAAUAGUAAUGGGCAUUAGCUAACAUUUCAAGUGAUGCUUGUGCUAUUUGUCCACUUUAUAACAUACCCAUUUUUGUAACUUAUCCACGAUGCAUUACUGGGCAAUGGACUUCUGCAUGCCACAUAGGCUCCCGAUGUGCUAUAACAUUGCUAAUCGCUCAUCUCUUUUUAACCUCUCUCUGUAUCUCUAAUACUCCAACACUGCACUUUGAUAUGGCUCUCACCCAGACCACUUGCAUGACUUUGCUAAUAAAUGGACUGUGUUGUUUCAGGGGACUAAUUGCUUUUUUUGUUAGUUUGGUUUUAGUUUGGUCCUUUGUUUUGUGGCAGUAUUCAGCAGCUUUGUUUUGCACUGCAUUUAGUUAUUGAACAUUUUUACCAGCUAAUGGAAACAAACAAUUGUAUAAAGGCUUUUUUGUCUUAUAGGGUCAACACUGAAGCGACUGUGUCUCGGCAAAGAUCGUAGCAACAGGUCUGGAGCCGGGCCAGGGGCUUUCAAUCAAUCACAGCAGCCGCCUACCGGUGCCACACCUCCUUCUCAUCAGCCAGUAAUGGGACUGGCCCAAGCUCAAGCCAAUAACAGCAACAACAAGACAAGCUCAUACACUGGCUCAUCCAUGAGUGCCAAUGAAAACAACCUGCCUGAAGACUUCCAGCGGCUGAUGGAGGACUGGGCCCAGGAGGUUCUUAUCGUCACCCACAGGCCGCGCACUAACUCUCUGAGCAUCAGUGGGCAGCAGCUUUGGAAUCAGGUUGUGCCUCGAACACGUGGACAGCUGACUAGUGCCUCAGAUGUAUCAUGGACAGCUCAAGGUCCAGAGGCCUGCAGUCUUCCCCUGUCUUGGCCUGAUAGCCCUGGGUCAACAAUGAUGACCAACCCCUCCACAUGGCCCCAUCCCAGUUAUCCUGCUCCAUUCAGGGCCUUGUCCUCACCUCUCUCUGUUAGCCACUGGCCUGGGUUGCUAUUCCCACUUCCUUCAGGAGUCUUUGCCUUUCCUGCUGUGCCCUCAGCCCAGGACGCCCCCAGCCCUGGUCCAGUUCCAUCAUGUCAGCCGCCUGACCCCAAAGCCAGGACUCUCUAACCUGAGUAGCAUUGUGUCUUCCAAUUCCAUUACCAAAAAAGAAAUGUCCUUAUAGUUCUAGUCAAUAUUAUGUGCAUAUGCUGUAUACAUUUAACCAGCAUGUAUUUAUUUAUAUGUACAUACCCGUGUCCAUUCUUGAGUUUUGUUAUUUGUUUAAAUUGCAUCAACAUACCUCAUGUCCAUAUUACAGUACAUAAUCCUUGAGUGCAGUGUAAUGGUAGUAGUACAUUAAAAGAUGUAUAAUUACCCCAAUCAGGCUUACAAGAGAAGAUUUUCUUAAUUACUUAUAAAUGUACCUUACCACUCAUUGAAUGUACAUAAUGUACUGUUCAUUCAUGGUACGUUUAUAUAAAUAGUUCAUGUUUGUGUUGCUCAUAUCACUCUCUCUCUCUCUCUCUCUCUCUC